rnacentral:rRNA from 1 species
UACGUAGGGUGCGAGCGUUAAUCGGAAUUACUGGGCGUAAAGCGUGCGCAGGCGGUUUUGUAAGACAGAUGUGAAAUCCCCGGGCUUAACCUGGGAACUGCAUUUGUGACUGCAAGACUUGAGUACGGCAGAGGGGGGUGGAAUUCCACGUGUAGCGGUGAAAUGCGUAGAGAUGUGGAGGAACACCGAUGGCGAAGGCAGCCACCUGGGCUAACACUGACGCUCAGGCACGAAAGCGUGGGGAGCAAACAGG